rnacentral:rRNA from 1 species
UACGAAGGGGGCUAGCGUUGUUCGGAAUUACUGGGCGUAAAGGGCGCGUAGGCGGUGCCUCAAGUCAGGCGUGAAAGCCCCGGGCUCAACCUGGGAACCGCGCUUGAGACUGCAGUACUAGAGCUCGGGAGAGGAUGGUGGAAUUCCCAGUGUAGAGGUGAAAUUCGUAGAUAUUGGGAAGAACACCGAUGGCGAAGGCAGCCAUCUGGACCGACACUGACGCUGAGGCGCGAAAGCGUGGGGAGCAAACAGG